AUUGAACGCUGGCGGCAUGCCUUACACAUGCAAGUCGAACGGCAGCAUGAUCUAGCUUGCUAGAUUGAUGGCGAGUGGCGAACGGGUGAGUAAUACAUCGGAACGUGCCCUGUAGUGGGGGAUAACUAGUCGAAAGAUUAGCUAAUACCGCAUACGACCUGAGGGUGAAAGUGGGGGACCGCAAGGCCUCAUGCUAUAGGAGCGGCCGAUGUCUGAUUAGCUAGUUGGUGGGGUAAAGGCCCACCAAGGCGACGAUCAGUAGCUGGUCUGAGAGGACGAUCAGCCACACUGGGACUGAGACACGGCCCAGACUCCUACGGGAGGCAGCAGUGGGGAAUUUUGGACAAUGGGCGAAAGCCUGAUCCAGCAAUGCCGCGUGUGUGAAGAAGGCCUUCGGGUUGUAAAGCACUUUUGUCCGGAAAGAAAUGGCUCUGGUUAAUACCUGGGGUCGAUGACGUACCG
rnacentral:rRNA from 1 species